GUUAAAAAGCUCGUAGUUGGAUUUCAGUUCCGGACUGACGGUUCACCGCCCGGUGUUUACUGUCACGCUCCGAACAGCCGCACCGCCGGCUCGCACGGGGUGCUCUUCAUCGAGUGUCCCGAGUGGCCGGCAAGUUUACUUUGAAAAAAUUAGAGUGCUCAGAGCAGGCUCAUUCAACGGCCUGAAUGUCUAUGCAUGGAAUAAUGGAAUAGGACCUCGGUUCUAUUUUGUUGGUUUUCGGAACCAGAGGUAAUGACUAAUAGGAACAGGCGGGGGCAUUCGUAUUGCGACGCUAGAGGUGAAAUUCUUGGACCGUCGCAAGACGAACUACUGCGAAAGCAUUUGCCAAGGAUGUUUUCAUUAAUCAAGAACGAAAGUUAGAGGUUCGAAGGCGAUCAGAUACCGCCCUAGUUCUAACCAUAAACGAUGCUGACUAGCGAUCCGCCGGCGUUAUUCCCAUGACCCGGCGGGCAGCUUCCGGGAAACCAAAGUCUUUGAGUUCCGGGGGAAGUAUGGUUGCAAGCUGAAACUUAAGGAAUUGAGGAGGGG
rnacentral:rRNA from 1 species